rnacentral:miRNA from 1 species
CUUGAGCUAUUGACCUUUGUGUGCAUGUGGUGUAUGUUUGUACCUGUGUGUGUGUGCGUGCGCAUGUGCAUGGCACAUGCAU